rnacentral:rRNA from 1 species
CCUACGGGAGACAGCAGUAGGGAAUAUUGCUCAAUGGGGGAAACCCUGAAGCAGCAACGCCGCGUGGAGGAUGAAGGUUUUCGGAUUGUAAACUCCUUUUGUUAGAGAAGAGAAUGACGGGAUCUAACGAAUAAGCACCGGCGAACUCCGUGCCAGCAGCCGAGGUAAUACGGAGGGUGCAAGCGUUACGGGGAACCACUGGGCGUAAAGAGCGCGUAGGCGGGAUAGCAAGUCAGAUGGGAAAUCCUAUGGCUUAACCAUAGAACUGCAUUUGAAACUGUUAUUCUAGAGUCUGGGAGAGUUAGCUGGAAUUCUUGUUGUAGGGGUCACAUCCGUA